GUAAGGCAUUUGAUCGCCCAAGGUGCAUUCUCUGUGAAUGGUGGUGGAAAGACUGAGCUGCAACACUUCUGUGUGGAGGUAUAUUGUGGUUUUUUACAGAUUUAAUUUUUUAGAGUAGUUUGAAGUUCACAACAAAAUUGAGAGGAAGGUACAAAGGUUUCUCAUAUACCCUGUGUCCCACCCCCAAUACAUACACACACACACACAGCCUCCUCUCCUACCGACAUCCCCCACCAAAAAGGUACAUUUGUUGCAACUGAUGAGCCCACCUUGACACGCUGUUGUCACUUCAAGUCCAUGGUUUACAUGAGGGUGCACUCUUGGUGUUGUACCUUCUGUGGGUUUGGACAAACAUAUAAUGGCAUGUAUCCACCACUAUAAUCUUAGCCAGAGUAUUUUCACUGCCUCUGCGCUCUGCCUAGUCAUCUCCCCCUCCCCUACCCCCGCAACCACGGAUGUUGUGAUUGUUGGAGUUACAGCUUUCUAAAGGCAAAAUUUUCUUCCCUCCUGCUUCUUUCUUUGGAAUUGGAUUUAGAGGAAACUUUGUUUCAAUCCAGGCUCUACGACUUAGCAGCUGUAUGGCCCUGAGCAAGUUAUUUAACCUCUCUGAGCAUAAGCGUCCUCAGCUGUAGCACAGACAUAUACUAUCUAUCCGGCAGUGAUGAAUAAAUGUGCACAAAGUGCUUAUGUGUACACAGGAGGCGCUAAGGAGGCUUGGGGUGAUAAAGGACAUCAAAAUGAGAAGAACCUCCAGGAAACCCCAUUCUGCCCCCUCUCUCCUGGCAGCCAGAACAUCAACCCCAGUCAUCCACCCCCUUGCCCUUCCCCGUCAUUGCCUGGGUCUUGCAGGGCUGAGGCAGAGCUGCCCCUGGAACAGAAGAGGGGUCAGAGUGAGAAGUUGCCUGGGGCAGCUGAAACGCCACUGUUUAUUUGUCAGAUUCCCAUAGGCACCCUCUGCCGGGGAUGGUUUACUGACUCACGUCACAUCAGGCUCCACUUAGGUCUAGUAAACUGAGGACUGGAGAAAUCACCCUGGACCUGAGCAAGAGGGCAGCCAGGAAGAUGCUAUGCCAACAACGCCUGCCAACAUUUCAGGAAAAAUAAUUGAAAUAAUAAAUAAUUCUGAUUAGGCCGAUAAACCUGGAGGCUGAGGGCAGGACGGAUGCUGAUCUUCCUGACUGAAUCCCGCCAGUUACCUAGAACACGCUGUGUAGAACGUUCUCUUGGAUGUUUGCUGAUCAGCUAUGAUGCCAGGCAGUGAAAGGGCAUCGGGACAACAGUGUCUGUCCCGUGCUCUGUGAAACGGACACAGCACGACUUCACAGGGACACUUUGCAGAGCAGACUUCAGGAAACAAACAGAGCUUAAAAAUAAGCAUUUCCUAAAUAUGGAAAUGAGAAAACGGUGACAUCACUAGAGAAGACCCAAAGACUUUUUUUUUUCCACCUUAAAUGUUGCCUACCUCUUUUGGGCCAAU
rnacentral:lncRNA from 1 species